rnacentral:sRNA from 1 species
CCAGCCCCCAUAUCCCUGGAGACAGAGCCCAAAGUGGGCUGGCUGGCGAGGGUGCAGUGCUCCUGGAGGAGCUGGUCACUGCCUGGUACAUCGGCUUCCUGUGUCUCAUCCUGGCCUCGUUCCUGGUGUACUUGGCAGAGAAGGGAGAGAACGACCACUUUG